UACCAGCACCCCGAGUGGUCGGGACGAUUAUUGGGCCUAAAGCAUCCGUAGCCGGUUUUACAAGUCUUCCGUUAAAUCCACCUGCUUAACAGAUGGGCUGCGGAGGAUACUAUAGAGCUAGGAGGCGGGAGAGGCAAGCGGUACUUAGUGGGUAGGGGUAAAAUCCGUUGAUCCAUUGAAGACCACCAGUGGCGAAGGCGGCUUGCCAGAACGCACUCGACGGUGAGGGAUGAAAGCUGGGGGAGCAAACCGG
rnacentral:rRNA from 1 species